AGGUAUGAAACUCGGAAAAAUCAGGUAGAUCAGGUACGAAACUCGAAAAAAUCGAGGUAGUUAAGGUACGAAACUAGAAAAAAUCGAGGUAGUUAAGGUACGAAACUAGAAAAAAUCGAGGUAGUUAAGGUACGAAAAUCGAAAAAAUCGAGUAGCUCAGGUAGGAAACUUAAAAAAUCGAGGUAGUUCAGAUGCGAAACUCAAAAAAUCGAGGUAGUUCAGAUAGGAAACUCAGAAAAUUCAGUUAGUUCAGAUACAAAACUCAAAAAAAUCCAAAUAGUUCAAUUACGAAACUCAAAAAAUCGAGAUAGCUCAGGCACGAAACUCGAAAACUCCAGAACUCGAAAAAAUUCAAAUAGUUUAGAUAUGAAACUCAAACUGAA
rnacentral:lncRNA from 1 species